rnacentral:rRNA from 1 species
GAUGAACGCUGCCGGCAUGCCUAACACAUGCAAGUCGAUCGGUAAGGCUCUUCGGAGUACCCGAGAGGCGGACGGCUGAGUAACGCGUAGGAACACACCCUGCAGUGAGGGAUAAGACACCGAAAGGUGUUCUAAUACCGCAUACGGUCUUCGGAUUAAAGCAUUUAUGCGCUGAAGGAGUGGCCUGCGUCAUAUUAGAUAGUUGGUGAGGUAAUGGCUCACCAAGUCGAUGAUGUGUAGCUGGUCUGAGAGGAUGAUCAGCCAGACUGGAACUGAGACACGGUCCAGACUCCUACGGGAGGCAGCAGUGAGGAAUAUUUCACAAUGAGCGAAAGCUUGAUGGAGCAAUGCCGCGUGCAGGAUGAAGGCCCUCGGGUUGUAAACUGCUUUUAUAAGAGAAGAUUAUGACGGUAACUUAUGAAUAAGGGACGGCUAACUACGUG